AAUCCGUUUCCAGGACGCACUGUCUCUGCGAGAGACCGCUCUCUUUUCCAUGGAGCUUCAUAAGCGCCAAGAUCAGAGCCUCCCUGAGAGGAAAGGCCAGAAGCGGAAGCUGGAGGAAGAUUUCGAAGACGAGCAAGAGAUCUCGGCGCCUCCUACCGGCGACGCCCGAGACGCCCUUCUCGCUGAGGUUACAGCGCAGGUUGAAAUACUCGACUUCAAUUUUUCAUGGCGUGAAGCCGAUCGAGCCGCGGCUAAGCGUGCCACUCACGUUCUUGCCGAACUUGCUAAGAAUGAGGAAGUAGUGAACGUGAUUGUUGAAGGAGGAGCUAUUCCGUCUCUAGUCAAUCAUCUUCAAGCGCCGCCUUCGAGUGAAGGCGAUCGUGGUCAAAAGCCAUUCGAGCACGAGGUCGAGAAAGGGAGUGCUUUCGCUUUAGGACUUCUUGCCGUUAAGCCAGAACAUCAACAACUAAUUGUUGACAAUGGUGCCUUAAAACAUCUUGUUGAUCUGUUAAAGAGACAUAAGACUUGCUCUGCUUCUCGUGCUGUGAAUAGUGUCAUUCGAAGGGCUGCAGAUGCAAUCACGAAUCUUGCUCAUGAGAACAGCAGCAUUAAAACCCGUGUCAGGAUGGAAGGUGGAAUUCCACCACUUGUUGAAUUGCUUGAAUUUAAUGAUACAAAGGUGCAAAGAGCAGCCGCUGGUGCACUGCGAACUCUGGCAUUUAAAAAUGAUGAAAAUAAAAAUCAGAUUGUUGAAUGCAAUGCUCUUCCAACUCUAAUUUUAAUGCUCCGUUCUGAAGAUGCUGCUAUUCAUUAUGAAGCGGUUGGUGUAAUAGGAAAUCUGGUACACUCUUCGCCUAAUAUAAAGAAAGAAGUUCUUCUUGCUGGGGCUUUGCAACCCGUUAUUGGACUACUUAGCUCCUGCUGCUCUGAGAGCCAAAGGGAAGCUGCCUUGUUACUUGGACAGUUUGCAGCAACUGAUUCAGAUUGUAAGGUUCACAUUGUUCAGAGAGGUGCUGUCCGACCUCUGAUAGAGAUGCUUCAGUCCCCUGAUGUACAACUCAGAGAAAUGUCCGCCUUUGCUUUGGGGAGACUCGCACAGGACACCCAUAACCAAGCUGGUAUAGCACACAAUGGUGGCUUAGCACCAUUACUCAAGCUCCUUGACUCAAAAAAUGGGUCUUUGCAGCAUAAUGCUGCAUUUGCUCUUUAUGGCCUUGCAGAUAAUGAGGAUAAUGUGUCUGAUUUCAUUAGGGUAGGUGGUGUUCAGAGACUGCAGGAUGGAGAGUUUAUUGUUCAAGCAACAAAAGACUGUGUGGCAAAGACAUUGAAAAGAUUAGAGGAGAAGAUUCAUGGCCGUGUCCUGAACCAUUUGUUAUAUCUUAUGCGAGUUUCAGAGAAGGCUGUCCAAAGACGAGUUGCUUUGGCUCUUGCUCAUCUUUGUUCUGCAGAUGAUCAGAGAACCAUAUUCAUUGAUAACAAUGGUUUGGAAUUUCUUAUUGGGCUUCUUGGCUCUACUAGUCCUAAGCAGCAACUUGAUGGCGCAGUUGCUUUAUGCAAGCUGGCCAACAAAGCCACGACUCUAUCACCAAUAGAUGCUCCUCCUCCUUCCCCAACGCCCCAGGUUUAUUUGGGAGAGCAGUAUGUGAACAAUGCUACAUUGUCAGACGUAACAUUUUUGGUUGAAGGGAAACGAUUUUUUGCUCACAGAAUAUGCCUACUUGCGUCUUCAGAUGCAUUUCGUGCUAUGUUUGAUGGUGGUUACAGGGAGAAGGAUGCAAGAGACAUAGAGAUUCCAAAUAUCAGAUGGGAAGUUUUUGAGUUGAUGAUGAGAUUCAUAUAUACUGGAUCAGUUGAUGUUACUCUUGAUAUUGCCCAAGAUCUCCUCAGAGCAGCUGAUCAAUAUCUCUUAGAAGGACUUAAGAGACGAUGUGAGUACACAAUAGCACAGGAUAUAUCACUGGAGAAUGUUUCUAGUAUGUAUGAACUCUCAGAAGCUUUCAAUGCAAUUUCAUUGAGGCACACAUGCAUCCUGUUUAUCAUGGAGCACUUUGAUAAAUUGAGUGCCAGACCAGGGCAUUCUUGUCUGGUUCAGCGUAUAAUACCAGAGAUCCGCAACUACUUUGCCAAAGCUCUCACAAAAGCUAACUCCCGUGACAUCCGGCUGUAGCAGGUGGCCAACGAUUCUAUUCUUGACAUCUAACCUAUUGUGAUGUACAGAACAUGCAGAUGUUCUUCCUGCUGAAUCCGGGAAGGGGUCUCCUUUAUUGAGCGGAGCAGGGCUGAGAGAAAUAUCUGACGAGUUAUGCGUGUUGCUCUCAUGCAGCCUGCUAAUACGUCGUUUAGAGGCAAACCACCCGAGUAAUGUAGUCAAGAAACAGCAUUACGUAAAGCCGGAGUGAGGGUUACUCAAUAACGAUAUGAAUACUAAUACGCAAUUGAAAGAUAGGCGAAUGCUUAUAGGUGUGACUUAGGUCAUGUUUGGCAUUACGUUUAAAAUUAUUUACAAACACGUUCACAUAAAUUGAGAUAAGAUUUUUUAUAUAUAUUUAUCUUGUAUUUUGUAAAUCAUGACUGAAAAGUUAUUUAUUAUAAGUCAUUUUAAAUGGGCCCUUAAUAGGAGUAAAAA